UACGGAGGGUGCAAGCGUUGCUCGGAAUUAUUGGGCGUAAAGGGCUCGUAGGCGGUUUGUCGCGUCGGGAGUGAAAACUCAGGGCUUAACCCUGAGCCUGCUUCCGAUACGGGCAGACUAGAGGUAUGCAGGGGAGAACGGAAUUCCUGGUGUAGCGGUGAAAUGCGCAGAUAUCAGGAGGAACACCGGUGGCGAAGGCGGUUCUCUGGGCAUUACCUGACGCUGAGGAGCGAAAGUGUGGGAGGCGAACAGG
rnacentral:rRNA from 1 species